rnacentral:rRNA from 1 species
CCUACGGGCGGCAGCAGUGAGGAAUAUUGGUCAAUGGGCGCGAGCCUGAACCCGCCAAGUCGCGUGCGGGAAGACGGUCCUAUGGAUUGUAAACCUCUUUUGCCGGGGAGCAAAAGACGCCACGCGUGGCGUUCAGAGAGUACCCGAAGCAAAAGCAUCGGCUAACUCCGUGCCAGCCGCCGCGGUAAGACGUAGGAUGCGAGCGUUAUCCGGAUGUAUUGGGGUGGAAGGGUGCGCCGGCUGAAGAUCAAGGCAGCGGUAAAAUUGAGAGGCUCAAGCUCUUCGAGCCGUUGAAACUGGUUUUCUUGAGUGAGUGAGAAGUAUGUGGAAUGCGUGGUGUAGCGGUGAAAUGCAUAGAUAUCACGCAGAACUCCGAUUGCGAAGGCAGCAUACCGGCGCUCAACUGACGCUCAUGCACGAAAGUGUGGGUAUCGAACAGGAUUAGAUACCCCUGUAGUC